rnacentral:lncRNA from 1 species
AGCCCAGUGAUACCUGUUUGGGAUUUCUAACCGAAAGAACUGUAAGGUAAUAAAUUUGUGUUGUUCUAAGCUACUAAAUUUGUGGCAAUUUAUUUAUUUAUUUAGGCUGUGCCUGCAGCAUGCAGAAAUUCCCUGGCCAGGAAUCGAAACAACGCCAUAGCAGUGACACCACCAAAUCCUUAACCUCUAGUGUGGCCCUCUAUUAUGGCAGCAAAUAGGUACAACUAAUACAUACAUACAAUGAAAUACUAUUUGGCCAUGAAAAGGAAUGAAGUACUGAUAAAUGCUACAACAUGGAUAAAAUUUAAAAACUGAAAUAAGCCAGACACAAAAGGCCACAUAGUGUAUGAUUCCAUUUAUAUGAAAUGUCUAAAAUGGGCAAAACCAUAGAGAUAGAAAGUGAAAUUAGUGGUUGCCACGGGAGUAAUAGGAAGUGACUGCUAAUGAAUAAGGGGUUUCUUUUUGGGAUAACAGGAAUGUUCUGGAAUUUGAUAGUGAUGAUGCUUGCACAACUCUCUGAAUAUACUAAAAACUACUGAAUUGUACACUUUAGAUGUGAACUUUAUGGCAUCUGAAUUAUAUCUCAACAAAACUAAAAAAUGUUUUAUCAAUUAGAUAAGUUGACAGUGAUAUCCCAUUCUUACUUAAUUUGUACUUGUUUAUAUAACUAAUGGAGCUGCGUAUUUUUCAGGUAUUUAUAAGCUAUUUGUAUUUCUUUAUUAGUAAUUUGUUCAUGUCCUGUUGGUAUUUUUAAAUUACUUAUUAAUAAGUGCUUUGGAUAUAUUAAGAAUACUAACCCUUCAUCUGACAUAUGUGUUCAAACUAUUUUUCCCCAUUUGUUUGCUUUUAAAUUUUUAUUUAGGUAUACACACAUAGACACACACACUGGGGAAGGUGGUGAAGAAAAAUUCUAAAUUUUUAUUUAGAAUAACCCUAAUCUUUAUGGUUAUUGUUCUUAUGCUUAGGAAGUCCUUCCCCACCCCAAAAUUAUAUUAGUGUUCACGUAUAUUUGCUUUUUUUCUUUCCUUUUUUUUUUUUUUUUUUUUUUUGCUUUU